AUACGGAAGGUGCAAGCGUUAAUCGGAAUCACUGGGCGUAAAGCGCUCGUAGGUGGCUUUGUAAGUCAGGUGUGAAAUCCCGGGGCUCAACCUCGGAACUGCCUUUGAUACUGGGUGUCUAGAGUGUGGAAGAGGUAAGUGGAAUUCCGAGUGUAGAGGUGAAAUUCGUAGAUAUUCGGAGGAACACCAGUGGCGAAGGCGGCUUACUGGUCCAUUACUGACGCUGAGGUGCGAAAGCGUGGGGAGC
rnacentral:rRNA from 1 species